rnacentral:lncRNA from 1 species
UUCAUGUUCUUUUCCUCUAAUUACAUGAGUUCAAUUGGCAUUUUGAUAUUGUUUUUUUUUUUAUGUCUUUUUAACAAAACUCUUAUUAUUGUAAACAUGGUACCAAUGGCACUGUACCAAAACAACACUUGGUACCAUGAUUUGUCCCCUAAAUGGUUAGUUGUUUGCAUGCAUUUGUUAUAUGCAUAAUCCCCACUUAUAGCACCCAAACAUCAAACAAUUCAUGUUGUAGAGCCUUUUUGCUCGUCAUUAAGCUAGCAGGACCCAUAAAAUAUCUCCAUAACGAUCAGUACCCUCAUCCCUAUGCGUGUGUGAUUCUACCCACUUUUAUCUCAAGAUUCCAGAAACGACAGUUUACGACUCAAAACACCUACAGCUUCUCAUGCUCGGGACGGAGCCUCCAACCAUUUGGCUGGAAGAUCUUGGGUGAUAACGGUGAAGCCCCAUAAGGAUGCUGACGUGCGCACACAUCCC